UGGGGGAUAUUGCACAAUGGGCGAAAGCCUGAUGCAGCGAUGCCGCGUGAGGGAAGAAGGUUUUCGGAUUGUAAACCUCUGUCUUCGGUGAAGAAAAUGACGGUAGCCGAGGAGGAAGCCACGGCUAACUACGUGCCAGCAGCCGCGGUAAUACGUAGGUGGCGAGCGUUGUCCGGAAUUACUGGGUGUAAAGGGAGCGUAGGCGGGAAUGUAAGUCAAAUGUGAAAUCUAUCGGCUCAACCGGUAGGCUGCGUUUGAAACUACAUUUCUUGAGUGAGGUAGAGGUAAGUGGAAUUCCCGGUGUAGCGGUGAAAUGCGUAAAUAUCGGGAGGAACACCAGUGGCGAAGGCGACUUACUGGGCCUUAACUGACGCUGAGGCUCGAAAGCGUGGGGAGCAAACA
rnacentral:rRNA from 1 species